GGUCGCUUAGCUCAGUUGGUUAGAGCGUGGUGCUAAUAUGGCGGUGGUCUAUAGAUCAUCUCUUCAGUUGACGCCAAGGUCGCGAGUUCGACCCUCGUAGUGACCA